rnacentral:tRNA from 1 species
GCGGCAGUGAUCUAACGGCAUGAUUCGAGCUUCCCAAGCUUGCUGUCCGGGUCCAAUUCCCGGCUGCCGCA